UACCACUCAGGGUCGCAUCUGGAGAGUUUCCAGUAUUCUUCCAGUCUUGACUACAGGAGGGAAAGUCAAGCAGAGGCAUAUCCAUUCCACUCCUAGCUUGGGCAGUGGCUAGAUAGUGGAAGGCAAUCUGCUACAAGA